UGGAAAGAAGAGGAAUUAAACCCCUGUUAAUAGGUCUACAGCCUACCGCUAAGCACUCAGCCACCUUACC
rnacentral:tRNA from 1 species